GCCGUGAGGCUGGGGUGGUCCUCUGGGGACUGGGAAAGUGCUCCGGGGUCAGGAGGAGACUCUGACGUGAGAAGGGAGUCAGCUGAAUAGAAAGAAGGGGGAACAGUCGGGAUCGGGCUAUCCCAGACCCGGAGGCCCUUUUCUUAUAACUUAGAGCCCACUCCUGCCUCGUUUUCCCCAGGGGUGGGCUGGGCUCAGAGCAUCCUAUUCCUGGGCCGUGGCGUUUACACUAGCUACUGCUCCAACAGAUGGAAGACUGUCCCUCGCCCAGGCCUCUUGCAGCCUGUUUAUCCCGCCCCCUCCCCUUCCUAGGUAGUGGGAGGCAUGGUUCUUAGUACGAGCAGCGGCCAGCCAAGGAUACAGGGAAUCAGGUGCCAUCAAAAAUGACUUUAGGCCGUGGACGGAGGGCGGAGAAGUGGGAAACCCUGUGAAGGAGAUGACGCUGAGGUCCCGGGGUCUGCCAGCAUCUGGAGCGGGAGCCACGGGCGCCUAGAACCGUGCCAGGUCGGUGGGGGUUGACUGGCUUUGGAGGAAAGCCACUGCGGUGCAGGCGUGGAUGGAGAGCAACAGGAGAGCCAGAGCAGGGGCGGCAGCAGUCGGCAGAGCCACCGUCUGGGCUGCUCUGAGAAUCAGGACAACUUGGCCUAAGACCUGAAGACCCCAGGGCAGAAGCCAUUUCCUGCCCACCACAAGUGAUGGUGGCUCCGACUUCCCAUCAGACCUGGUGAGGGCCUGCCUCAGUUUCAAAAGCAAGCUAAAGGGGGCUGGGCCCAGAGCCUCACACGUGCUGAACGAAUGUUCUGCCUCGGAGCUGUCUCCAGAACACCCGCCAUUUGAACAGUACCACUGGCCUGUAACAGCAGUUCAUACUUGGUCACGGAAGCCUACAGUUUCGCAAUACGGAUAAUAAAAAUUACUGAGUAUUUCUUCUCUUUUA